GGUUGACCUCGGAUCAGGUAGGAAUACCCGCUGAACUUAAGCAUAUCAAUAAGCGGAGGAAAAGAAACCAACAGGGAUUGCCCUAGUAACGGCGAGUGAAGCGGCAACAGCUCAAAUUUGAAAUCUGGCCCUUGGGUCCGAGUUGUAAUUUGUAGAGGAUGCUUUUGGUGCGGUACCUUCCGAGUUCCCUGGAACGGGACGCCAUAGAGGGUGAGAGCCCCGUCUGGUCGGAUACCAAUCCUCUGUAAAGCUCCUUCGACGAGUCGAGUAGUUUGGGAAUGCUGCUCUAAAUGGGAGGUAUAUGUCUUCUAAAGCUAAAUAUUGGCCAGAGACCGAUAGCGCACAAGUAGAGUGAUCGAAAGAUGAAAAGCACUUUGAAAAGAGGGUUAAACAGUACGUGAAAUUGUUGAAAGGGAAGCGCUUGUGACCAGACUUGGGCCCGGUUAAUCAUCCACCGUUCUCGGUGGUGCACUUGGCCGGCCCAGGCCAGCAUCAGUUCGGCGUGGGGGAUAAAGGCGGCGGGAAUGUGGCUCCUCGGAGUGUUAUAGCCCACCGUGUAAUACCCUGUGCUGGACUGAGGUUCGCGCAUCUGCAAGGAUGCUGGCGUAAUGGUCAUCAGCGACCCGUCUU
rnacentral:rRNA from 1 species